CGUAGUCUGCUAAUUAUAACUGUACUAAAAGACUUAGAUAGGCUCUAUUUCAUGUACAUUUACUAUUUAGCUUGAGUUUCUUGGGUGGUUAAUCGAACUUCAGAAGGAAAGGUGAAAUUUGUUGAUAUCUGAAGGACGUUCCGUAGCGAAAGCAUUCACCAACGAGGAUCUGACGAUCAGGUACUAGAGCAUGGGGAUCAAAGAGGAUUAGAGACCCUCGUAGUCCAUGCCUUAAACAAUGAGUAUUCAACUUCUUUCGACAAAGUAUUUACUAUUUAUAGUAUACAGAUCGUCUGGGUUUAAAGCUAACGCGCGAAAUACCGCCUGGGGAAUGUGGCCGCAAGGUUAAACUCAAAGGAAUUGACGGUGACUUUUACAAGG
rnacentral:rRNA from 1 species